CCCAGUAGUGGGGGACAACAUUCGGAAACGGAUGCUAAUACCGCAUACGCCCUACGGGGAAAGCGGGGGAUCUUCGGACCUCGCGCUAUUGGAUGAGCCCAAGUCGGAUUAGCUAGUUGGUGAGGUAAUUGCUCACCAAGGCGACGAUCCGUAGCUGGUCUGAGAGGACGAUCAGCCACACUGGGACUGAGACACGGCCCAGACUCCUACGGGAGGCAGCAGUGGGGAAUAUUGGACAAUGGGCGCAAGUGAUCCAGCAAUGCCGCGUGUGUGAAGAAGGCCUGCGGGUUGUAAAGCACUUUCAGUAGAGAAGAAAAGCCUACGGUUAAUAACCGUGAGUCUUGACGUAACCUACAGAAGAAGCACCGGCUAACUCCGUGCCAGCAGCCGCGGUAAUACGGAGGGUGCGAGCGUUAAUCGGAAUUACUGGGCGUAAAGCGCGCGUAGGGGCUUUGUAAGUCGGAUGUGAAAUCCCCGGGCUUAACCUGGGAACUGCAUUCGAUACUGCUUAGCUAGAGUAUGGUAGAGGGAAGUGGAAUUCCGGGUGUAGCGGUGAAAUGCGUAGAUAUCCGGAGAACACCAGUGGCGAAGGGACUUCCUGGGCCAAUACUGACGCUGAGGUGCGAAAGGUGGGGAGCAAACAGGAUUAGAUACCCUGGUAGUCCACGCCGUAAACGAUGAGAACUAGAUGUCGGGAGGAU
rnacentral:rRNA from 1 species